UUCUGAGAGAAGAAAAAGAAAUGGGAAAGACGGAACCGGGCAUUAACACAGAAAGGAACUGAACUGAAGGGCAUGGAAAAGUCAUUUCCUCUGAGGACAUAGCUGCAGUUGCUGCCUUUAUGUAAUGCUCACAAAACGCCACACCCACUGGACUGGAUCCCUGCUGGUCCUGUAUGAUACUCUCGCACCAGACCUCACCUCAGGAAGCCGUUGCCAAACGUUACAUGCCAGAAAGGCCUGGGGGAAAGUGAAAGGAUUCCUCUGGCUGGUGACAGAGGUGACAGACCUGAUGAGGGAAGCCAUGUUGUAUGGCCACCUGGGAGGAAAAAAAAGCAAUAGACUCCAACAAUGUGUUUGUUUCCUGUUUCAAAAAUGCGUUGUGGAAAACAACUUGUUGCUAUACAAGCAUAUAAGCCUCCAAGUAGAGGACUGCAUAAGACUGGAGGUGUGCAAACUGCAACUGCAAAGGAGAGAAUAAGGCAGAAGAACCUUGGAAGAGGAAAAGAUGUCGUGGUAUUUUGCAACAUACGCAUAGCAGGUGGUCACAUUACAGUUCUAAAUGUUGCCGUAUAUUUAAUCCACAAGAGGUCGUUGUAGCACCACAUAAACUUUCCUUAAAGAAGCCACAGAUGUAUGGAGAAGGCUGUAUUUUGACUCUGAAAGAAUGUCAGUCAGAUGUUUUUUGUAAUCCUAAAUCACUUAAGCCAAACUUUUCCAACUUAGAUGCUCAAAAUUAGGCACUUAAUUGUUGAAAGGUUGUUAGUGCUUAGAGCUUCCACUUGAGGUAGCUGCACUGAGGGUAGGGAUGAGAGAAAACAGCAUAGAAAGGAAGGUGGUGACUGUCAGGACUUUAUGACCCAUCUUGUCCAGUCUUUCUCUGAGCUAGUUUAGAUAACAUGAUACAUGAAUAGCAAAAUCUGGCAAGAUCAGUUUGCAAGUCCUUUUUUUGUACUAAAGGUGUGUUUCAAGUUAUACAGGCCUGUAAGUGGGGUUUUUUAGUUUUGGAAUUAUAUAGACAAUUACAUGACAUUUAAUAAAAGAAGCCAAUGCAGCUCAAAAGGAUUCAAAUGAACAAA